UAGUCCACGCCGUAAACGAUGGUUACUAGCUGUUUGGACUUCGGUCUGAGUGGCUAAGCGAAAGUGAUAAGUAACCCACCUGGGGAGUACGAUCGCAAGAUUGAAACUCAAAGGAAUUGACGGGGGCCCGCACAAGCGGUGGAGCAUGUGGUUUAAUUCGAUGAUACGCGAGGAACCUUACCAGGGCUUAAAUGUAGGAUGCAUUAGUUAGAGAUAGCUAUUUCUUCGGACUUCUUACAAGGUGCUGCAUGGUUGUCGUCAGCUCGUGCCGUGAGGUGUCAGGUUAAGUCCUAUAACGAGCGCAACCCCUGUUGUUAGUUACCAGCACGUAGUGGUGGGGACUCUAACAAGACUGCCGGUGCAAACCGCGAGGAAGGUGGGGAUGACGUCAAAUCAUCACGGCCCUUACGUCCUGGGCUACACACGUGCUGCAAUGGAGUGACAGCGCGUCGCUACUCCGCAAGGAGACGCUAAUCGCUAAAAGCUUCCUCAGUUCGGAUUGUCCU
rnacentral:rRNA from 1 species